rnacentral:rRNA from 1 species
AGCUUGCUUCUCUUGAGAGCGGCGGACGGGUGAGUAAUGCCUAGGAAUCUGCCUGGUAGUGGGGGAUAACGCUCGGAAACGGACGCUAAUACCGCAUACGUCCUACGGGAGAAAGCAGGGGACCUUCGGGCCUUGCGCUAUCAGAUGAGCCUAGGUCGGAUUAGCUAGUUGGUGAGGUAAUGGCUCACCAAGGCGACGAUCCGUAACUGGUCUGAGAGGAUGAUCAGUCACACUGGAACUGAGACACGGUCCAGACUCCUACGGGAGGCAGCAGUGGGGAAUAUUGGACAAUGGGCGAAAGCCUGAUCCAGCCAUGCCGCGUGUGUGAAGAAGGUCUUCGGAUUGUAAAGCACUUUAAGUUGGGAGGAAGGGCAGUUACCUAAUACGUAAUUGUUUUGACGUUACCGACAGAAUAAGCACCGGCUAACUCUGUGCCAGCAGCCGCGGUAAUACAGAGGGUGCAAGCGUUAAUCGGAAUUACUGGGCGUAAAGCGCGCGUAGGUGGUUCGUUAAGUUGGAUGUGAAAGCCCCGGGCUCAACCUGGGAACUGCAUUCAAAACUGACGAGCUAGAGUAUGGUAGAGGGUGGUGGAAUUUCCUGUGUAGCGGUGAAAUGCGUAGAUAUAGGAAGGAACACCAGUGGCGAAGGCGACCACCUGGACUGAUACUGACACUGAGGUGCGAAAGCGUGGGGAGCAAACAGGAUUAGAUACCCUGGUAGUCCACGCCGUAAACGAUGUCAACUAGCCGUUGGGAGCCUUGAGCUCUUAGUGGCGCAGCUAACGCAUUAAGUUGACCGCC